rnacentral:rRNA from 1 species
ACUACGGGAGGCUGCAGUGGGGGAUAUUGCACAAUGGGGGGAACCCUGAUGCAGCGACGCCGCGUGGGUGAAGAAGCGCCUCGGCGCGUAAAGCCCUGUCAGCAGGGAAGAAAAUGACGGUACUUGAAGAAGAAGCCCCGGCUAACUACGUGCCAGCAGCCGCGGUAAUACGUAGGGGGCAAGCGUUAUCCGGAUUUGCUGGGUGUAAAGGGGGCGCAGACGGCGAUGCAAGCCAGGAGUGAAAGCCCGGGGCCCAACCCCGGGACUGCUCUUGGAACUGCGUGGCUGGAGUGCAGGAGGGGCAGGCGGAAUUCCUGGUGUAGCGGUGAAAUGCGUAGAUAUCAGGAGGAACACCGGUGGCGAAGGCGGCCUGCUGGACUGCAACUGACGUUGAGGCCCGAAAGCGUGGGGAGCAAACAGGAUUAGAUACCCCGGUAGUC